UUGAUGAUAUCAUUAGGCGGCUUUGCAAACCCGGGAAUGAGUGGAAGAAAAAUGAUUACACGAGGGAAAAGACCAGUUUCCCAUCUUCGGCACUCAGUCGCUACGGGAAGGCGUGGUCUGGCUUCAUUUGUGACAACAUGAUCCCCACCCGUCAUUUGAGCGAUGUGACUAAGGAUAGGGCGAUCCUAAUUUUCGCCAUUGUCAUGGGCCUACAUGUGGAUAUUGG
rnacentral:lncRNA from 1 species